UACGUAGGGGGCAAGCGUUGUCCGGAAUCCUUGGGCGUAAAGCGCGCGUAGGCGGCCCUGUAAGUCCGUUGUGAAAGUCAAAGGCUCAACCUUUGAAAGCCGAUGGAUACUGCAGGGCUAGAGUCCGGAAGAGGCGAGUGGAAUUCCUGGUGUAGCGGUGGAAUGCGCAGAUAUCAGGAGGAACACCAAUAGCGAAGGCAGCUCGCUGGGACGGUACUGACGCUAAGGCGCGAAAGCGUGGGGAGCGAACAGG
rnacentral:rRNA from 1 species